rnacentral:rRNA from 1 species
ACUUUCAACAACGGAUCUCUUGGUUCUGGCAUCGAUGAAGAACGCAGCGAAAUGCGAUAAGUAACGUGAAUUGCAGAAUUCAGUGAAUCAUCGAAUCUUUGAACGCACAUUGCGCCCGCCAGUAUUCUGGCGGGCAUGCCUGUUCGAGCGUCAUUU